GUAUAUGUGUAUGUGGAUGGUGUUCAACACCAAGGACAGGUCUGUUUGCCUGUGUGUGGAUGAUGUUAAGCACCAAGGACAGGUCUGCUACUGU
rnacentral:pre_miRNA from 1 species